rnacentral:rRNA from 1 species
AUUGAACGCUGGCGGCAUGCCUUACACAUGCAAGUCGAACGGCAGCGCGGGGCAACCUGGCGGCGAGUGGCGAACGGGUGAGUAACAUAUCGGAACAUACCCUAGAGUGGGGAUAACGUAGCGAAAGUUACGCUAAUACCGCAUACGCACUAAGGUGGAAAGUGGGGGAUCUUCGGACCUCAUGCUCAUGGAGUGGCCGAUAUCUGAUUAGCUAGUUGGUGAGGUAAAGGCUCACCAAGGCGACGAUCAGUAGCUGGUUUGAGAGAACGACCAGCCACACUGGAACUGAGACACGGUCCAGACUCCUACGGGAGGCAGCAGUGGGGAAUUUUGGACAAUGGGGGNGAACCCUGAUCCAGCAAUGCCGCCGUGAGUGAAGAAGG